UGCUGAACAUCACAGCGACACAGCGUCGGACAAUGGUGUGCUUCACAUAGAAACGGAAGGAGUCCAAUACGCAGUCGUGCAGAGGCAGGCGUCUACACAAAGGAUUGAAACGCAGGUCAAUGCUAUAUAUUCCAACAACCACGUGAUGACAACGGCCUAGCGUACGCCGAGGUGGACAUCACGUUCCUACAGGAAGCUAACGCCCGGCAAGGAGAACAAAUACGCCGACGGAGUAUGCUGAAAUUGAGUUUUACUCCACACAGGAACCUGCUUUAGAAGAUCAUGUGUCCCACAAUGCAUCAUCGUUGAGCUAGAUCAAAGACCAGAAAUAAAACAAAAAACAAGCAAACUGCCCCAUUGUAUUGUUUCUUUAUCGUAUUCCUCAUGAUUGUGCUUGAUAUGUGAACGUCUUCUUUUGUAUUCUAUAUUGAAAUAAAUAGGGUUUAUAGUUUUAAACCCAACACAAUAAAAUCAAAACCACUGAUAGGAAUUUAUAAAUGUAUUACUUCCUGAAUGUUAUUAUUGACUGAUGAAAUGCUUUUACUUUCUCAUAUAUUUGUAAUAUUAAGUCAUUUUAAUUGUCUACACCUUAGACGCUUUUGCUGUACUUCAGUUUCCCGGUUUGUCUCUAUAAAUGUAAACUAUGUACGUGAAGUAAUCGGCAGGCCUUUCGGAAUACUAUUUUGAAGUACUACAGCAGUAGCAUUUGUCUUAUUUAUUAAGGAGAUUUUAACAUAUUUAUCUGGAUAAACAGGUAGUUCGAUAGGCCAAACUGAACGCCAUACAUGAAGAAAUGCAAUGAUCUAAUAGACGUGUAAAUGGUUUUAACAGGCAUUCAGAAACAUGCAUUUUGAAUGCGAUAUUCUCAAAGCACAUGUACACGCAUGAUAUCAUGUUUAUGACGGGAAAGGUUCAAGAAGGUUCUCUUUUGGCCUCGAAAAUACUAAAACAUAUAUAUAACGUGUGUGAACUAAAUAGUCAUAAUAGUAAGAAAUGUUGAUCAUUUUAUUUUUACCUUUGACGUUAAUUGGAAAACAAAUGACAUACAUUGCACUUUUUAUUAAGCAUUGUAUAUAUUUGCUUUGUAUAAGGCACAUGUUUGAUCAUUACAUAGAUUUCAAGCAGCAAUGUUUAUUUGAUACCGCUAGAAAAUUUGCAAGUCUGAGAAGCAGAAACGUUGAACACAUUACAUUAUUGUAUAUAACUUUCGUAUAUUUGUAUAAAAUUAAAAUAUGAACGUUUCUAUUGAAAUAUGUAAAGUACUAAUUGGUAGUGUACGCACAUACACGUAUAGUAUACAAACGUUAAAGAAAUCCACUCUAUCAAAACACGCUACUCUGUCACGAUGCACAAAAGCAUUCCUAAGUGAAGAUCCUAGUUGACAUAUCUUACAGAAGUACUUAGCGUUUAAGUUCUUAUUUAUUUCAUGAUCGUGUCUUAUAUUAUAAAGG